UUACUCGGGCUCCGGAUUACUUAAAAGAUUAACACUCUAUCACAUAUGCGAGUCAGAGUUCAUUUUACCAAAGUUUUGUCGUCAUAGGUAAAAAAAGCAAAGGAUGUGAUCAAAGUCUUUAGUCAAUUCGUCCUCAAAAAAAAAAAAAAAAAAAAAAAAGUCUUUAGUCAAGUCACAAGUGUAUUUUCUGAGUCAAUGAGACUCAUCUGGGUUGGUCGUCUCUUCUUACUCGUAC
rnacentral:lncRNA from 1 species